ensembl:antisense
AUCCAAGACAAAGGCACCACAUCAAUGACAGGUUACCAGUCUUUGGUUGGGAAAGAAGAUGAGAUUGCUGCUUGAAUGUACACCACUAGGCAGAGCUGAACAUCCUUUAGAAAACUGCUGGUGAUCUGAUAGGUAUGACUAAAACAUGAAAGGUUCUUUUUUUUCUAGUUUUGUAAGUCACUACUCCAAUUUCAGAAUUUAAAAGGCACAUAGAAGUGAGGACAAAUAUAUAUGUGAGGAACAGAGGUCCUGAGAGAAGAAAAGGUCGUUUCCCAAGGCCACACAGAAAACCUGUACUACAACUCAGUCUAAGCCCAGGACAGUGUCCUUUUUCUUCUGCUUUAGGAGGACUGAGAUACCAAGAAAUAAUGGGUAUCCUGCAACUGAGGCAGGUAACUUUCCUUAUAUUGAAAAAAAUCUGGAUAUUAAGACAUGGUCCUGAGCACUUCUUUAUCACCAAAUAUAUUUUCUGAUAUGUGGCUUAUUCUGGACAUUUAUAGAUUUUUGGUAAAAUCUUAUACCUCUUUUACCAAGCUUAUGCCUUUCAAUUUGUGUCAUGAAGAGUGACUAUGUAGUCAUCUAUGUCUUCAUUCUUAUGGGUCUGACUAACUUUAAUCAACUAAACUUGCUUCUCUUAUAUGUAUUCCUCUGUAUAGGUGUGAACUGGAACAUCAAGAAUGAAAAUGAAAUAGUCCCUUACCCAGCUUAAGGACUGACUUCUCCAUCAAUCCUGGAAAACAGUAUUUAUAAUAAUCUAUUAAGCUAGUGCACUAGAACUCUUUAGCCCCUUUCAUGGCUCUUUUCCAGUAUUCUUGGGGUAUAUGAGGUCAGAUAGGGCAAUUGAGAGGCUAUGGAUAUCUCUAAAGUGUCUAGCUCUCCUUACAGCAGAUGAUAAGCAGAAAUGGUGUCAAGAAAACCAAAACCAAUAACCCAUUACUCCUUUCUCUUUUAAUCACUUUCCUUGACUUUUACUAGCUCCAGAGUUGGAAAUAAGGUCUCUUUAAGCUCCCUUCUAAAAAGCUCUAGAAGUCUCAUCCAACAUUUUUCAAGACCUUGAGAUGUAAGAUUUCUGUCUCUAUUUCUAGAGAAGACAUUUGAUGCCCAAGAAAACUUUAAACCUGGGUAGGACAAAAUUUGAUACUAUCAAGCAUUUUGAAUAACAGGAUCAUGAUGCUAAACAAAAUAUCAAAUAAAUUGAGAUGGCUUGGCUCUUCUGGCAGCUACUCUGGUAGCUAUGAGUUCAAACAUCUUAAUACUUCCCUGCAAAAUCCACUGCCUGUUUUGCUCUUUGUUGCUGUUGCUCUCCCUUUUGCAAGGGAAUAUAAAAAGCAGACAAGAAAAAGUGGUGGGGUGGACAGCCAAGGGACACAAUGAGCUGAUGGAUGAUAUAAUUCCCAAACUGUAAACAACUUGUUUUAUGACCUUUUGGAAGUCUUUCCCUAAACAUCAGACUUCAUUUUCUCAUUUAUAAUCUUGAAUGGGUAAAACUAGAUGACUUAUAAGGGCAUUUUAAUAUCAUUAAUUCUUUACUGUUUAUGAGAAAAGGCAACCAAGUUAGACAAAGCCGGCUAAGGCCACAAGAAAUUACUGUUUCAAUUCUGUUAAAUAAAUUAUCUAUCUUUUCCCCUGUUAGUAUCUAUCUUAUCUGUUUAAUUUUAAAGCACAUUUUAGUCACUUUUAUUUAUGUACAGGGAAUCAAAUACAGAGUAUUGUACAAGUUAGGUAAGUGUUCUGCUACUGAGUUUUAUCUCUAGAUCUUGAUUGUUUACUUUUUUGUUUGAGAAAGGGUAGUAUUAUAGAGCCCAAAUUGACUUUAAAUCUGAGGUUCUCCUAUCUCUGUCUAUGAAAGCUUGAAUGCACACAUGUACUAUCAUACCUGGCUAUAGCCACAAUUUUUGAGUAUUUGUUAGGUAACAAAUACUAAAUUAAUGGCUUUAUAUGCAUUAUUACAUAUUCUUGCCAUGAUUUCAUGGGCAUUUUUGUGGCUAUAGAAGAAGUAGGUUUCAGGGACAUAAACUCAUUUAUUUAAGGUGUUCAGCUAGUUAAUGGUAGAGGUAGAAUUCAAGUCCAGUUUUAAAAAUCAACAUCUAGGUACAUAACCAGGGUAAACAGAGCAUACAAGAAGUUGAUAGGAGGAAGGAACACAUAAAUUGUCCCCGAGGUUUUUCACAUCAUGUAGGCAGAAUGAUGACAAUUUUUUCCUGUUUCAGCUGAAUAGAAGAGUUAAUUGAGGCUUGGGCCACCAGAAUCUCCAGACAAACACCCAGGAUCCCCGCUUUUGUUUGGAGCCUUAGCCUGUUUUGUUCACUUCCCUCUUUUGGUGUGUCUUAGUCAGUCAUGUUAGUGUCUGCCAUUUGUCUCACGCUUAGGGUAAGAGAUAAUCACCCUAUUUUUUUCUCUUUCCAGUUGCACAUCUUCCAGCAUGUUCUUGCUGCCCAGUGGAGGUUCCUGAUCUGGCCAUCUGCAGUGUCACGCUCCGUGUAUUUGACAAGCUGAGUUGGACACUCUGUGUGGUAGAGUGUCAGUUUGUCAAAUACCCCAAGUGUGGCUCAUGCCUAUCAGCUCCAGGUCCAGGACAGAGCACAUAGCCUGCUGCCUACAUAUGAAUGCUUAUGAAACAUGAAGCUCUCUGGUGUUAUUCUAUGUCUUUGAGGGAACUAUAACAUUUAUUCAGAGAACAUCAGAGUAGGAACGAUGCAGCUCUGGGGUCUACAAGUCUGGUAUGCAUCUGUGUACAUUGUGAAAAUGCCAUAAACUGCAUAGUGGUCUUGAAAAUACAUGAGGGAUACAGGGAAUGAGAGUAUUAUUUGAUUUAUUAUUAAUGUCUUCUUUCACUUUUCUCUUCUUGCAGCCAGAAUAGCAGAAUUUUCAUACAAGCAUCAUGAAUUCUAUGAGAAAGUAGGAAAUAAAUAUCCACUGUCUGGCCUUCGGAGCACAUCUUAACCUACCUACAUUUUCUAUUUUCCACUUUGCUUUUAUCAUUCUUAAAAGAACCUUCUUGUUUAUCUUCCUUGGGCUUUCAGACACUACCAAAUUCCAAUUUCUCUUGGCACUAUUGAAAGUUAACCUAUACUUUUCUUUACUCCUUGGCUAACCACCUACUGGUAUGUGCUAUUAUAUGUCCUACCAUCCAACACAUCUUCUAAAGUUGUCAGUGAAUUUUUCCAGGGUAUGUUCUUGAAUUCCCUAUUAUAUUGUAAGAAUCUAGAGUUUAUUAUACUCAGUUGAUUGCUAUCUCUCAUACCAUUGUCCAACAUUUUAAUUAUUAAUAAAUGUUUACC